rnacentral:rRNA from 1 species
CCUANGGGUGGCUGCAGUCGAGAAUCUUCCGCAAUGGGCGAAAGCCUGACGGAGCGACGCCGCGUGCGGGAUGAAGGCCUUCGGGUUGUAAACCGCUGUCAGUGGGGAGGAAAUACAUGGGGGUUCUCCCUCGUGUUUGACCGAUCCGCAGAGGAAGCACAGGCUAAGUUCGUGCCAGCAGCCGCGGUAACACGAACUGUGCAAACGUUAUUCGGAAUCACUGGGCUUAAAGAGUUCGUAGGCGGCACGUUAAGUCGGGUGUGAAAUCCCUCGGCUCAACCGAGGAAUUGCGUCCGAAACUGGCGUGCUUGAGUGAGAUAGAGGUGAGCGGAACUGAUGGUGGAGCGGUGAAAUGCGUUGAUAUCAUCAGGAACACCGGUGGCGAAAGCGGCUCACUGGGUCUCAACUGACGCUGAGGAACGAAAGCUAGGGGAGCGAACGGGAUUAGAUACCCCUNUANUC